rnacentral:rRNA from 1 species
GACGAACGCUGGCGGCGUGCUUAACACAUGCAAGUCGAACGGAAAGGCCCUGCUUUUGUGGGGUGCUCGAGUGGCGAACGGGUGAGUAACACGUGAGUAACCUGCCCUUGACUUUGGGAUAACUUCAGGAAACUGGGGCUAAUACCGGAUAGGAGCUCCUGCUGCAUGGUGGGGGUUGGAAAGUUUCGGCGGUUGGGGAUGGACUCGCGGCUUAUCAGCUUGUUGGUGGGGUAGUGGCUUACCAAGGCUUUGACGGGUAGCCGGCCUGAGAGGGUGACCGGCCAGAUUGGGACUGGGAUACGGCGCGGGCUCCUACGGGGGGCAGCAGGGGGGAGUAUUGCACAAUGGGCGGGAGCCGGAUGCAGCAACGCCGAGGGCGGGAUGACGGCCUUCUGGUUGGAAACCGCUUACGCCGGUGACGAAGCGUGAGUGACGGUAAUGGGUAAAGAAGCACCGGCUAACUACGUG